rnacentral:rRNA from 1 species
UACGUAGGGUCUGAGCGUUGUUCGGAGUUACUGGGCGUAAAGGGCGCGCAGGUGGCGGUGUUGGCCCGGCGUGAAAGCCCCCGGCUCAACCGGGGAGGGUCGUCGGGGACCGCACCGCUUGAGGGCGGUAGGGGCUGGUGGAAUGCCUGGUGUAGUGGUGAAAUGCGUAGAGAUCAGGCGGAACACCCGUAGCGAAGGCGGCCAGCUGGGCCGUCCCUGACACUGAGGCGCGAAGGCGUGGGGAGCGAACGGG